UACGUAGGGUGCGAGCGUUGUUCGGAAUCACUGGGCGUAAAGGGCGCGUAGGCGGACUUUUAAGUCGGGGGUGAAAGCCCAGGGCUCAACCCUGGAAUUGCCUUCGAUACUGGGAGUCUUGAGUUCGGAAGAGGUUGGUGGAACUGCGAGUGUAGAGGUGAAAUUCGUAGAUAUUCGCAAGAACACCAGUGGCGAAGGCGGCCAACUGGUCCGAAACUGACGCUGAGGCGCGAAAGCGUGGGGAGCAAACAGG
rnacentral:rRNA from 1 species